rnacentral:rRNA from 1 species
UGGGGAAUAUUGCACAAUGGGCGCAAGCCUGAUGCAGCCAUGCCGCGUGUAUGAAGAAGGCCUUCGGGUUGUAAAGUACUUUCAGUCGGGAGGAAGGUGGUAAGGUUAAUAACCUUGGCAAUUGACGUUACCGACAGAAGAAGCACCGGCUAACUCCGUGCCAGCAGCCGCGGUAAUACGGAGGGAGCAAGCGUUAAUCGGAAUUACUGGGCGUAAAGCGCACGCAGGCGGUUGAUUGAGUCAGAUGUGAAAUCCCCGGGCUUAACCCGGGAAUUGCAUCUGAUACUGGUCAGCUAGAGUCUUGUAGAGGGGGGUAGAAUUCCAUGUGUAGCGGUGAAAUGCGUAGAGAUGUGGAGGAAUACCGGUGGCGAAGGCGGCCCCCUGGACAAAGACUGACGCUCAGGUGCGAAAGCGUGGGGAGCAAACAGG